rnacentral:rRNA from 1 species
UACGAAGGGGGCUAGCGUUGUUCGGAUUUACUGGGCGUAAAGCGCACGUAGGCGGAUUGGUCAGUUAGGGGUGAAAUCCUGGAGCUCAACUCCAGAACUGCCUUUAAUACUGCCAAUCUCGAGUCCGGAAGAGGUAAGUGGAACUCCUAGUGUAGAGGUGGAAUUCGUAGAUAUUAGGAAGAACACCAGUGGCGAAGGCGGCUUACUGGUCCGGUACUGACGCUGAGGCACGAAAGCGUGGGGAGCAAACAGG